UCACCAAGUGUUGGAUUGUUCAC
rnacentral:snRNA from 1 species